rfam:Simian immunodeficiency virus isolate SIVcpzTAN1, complete genome.
AUUAAGGCCAAUCAUACUAGGUCAAGAAGAGAUGUGGGCAUAGGACUGUUGUUUCUUGGAUUUCUUAGUGCAGCAGGAAGUACAAUGGGCGCAGCGUCAAUAGCGCUGACGGCACAGGCCAGAGGAUUACUCUCUGGUAUUGUACAGCAGCAACAAAACCUGCUUCAGGCCAUAGAAGCGCAACAACACUUGUUGCAGCUCUCUGUAUGGGGCAUUAAGCAGCUCCAGGCCAGAAUGCUUGCAGUAGAGAAAUACAUAAGAGACCAACAGCUCCUAAGCCUCUGGGGAUGUGCUAACAAAUUGGUGUGUCACAGUAGUGUGCCAUGGA